UACAGAGGGCGCGAGCGUUGUCCGGAAUCACUGGGCGUAAAGGGCGCGUAGGUGGCCACCAUAAGGCCGCGGUGAAAGUUCGGGGCUCAACCCCGGAUCGGCCGCGGCGACUGUGGGGCUCGGGUACUGUAGAGGCAGAUGGAAUUCCGGGUGUAGCGGUGGAAUGCGUAGAGAUCCGGAAGAACACCAGUGGCGAAGGCGAGUCUCUGGACGAUACCUGACACUGAGGCACGAAAGCUAGGGGAGCAAACAGG
rnacentral:rRNA from 1 species